GAAUUUACUGUUCAAAUGAAAAAGUUUGAUUUUAAUAAAAAGACGAGAAGACCCUUAGAAUUUUUUUUAAAAAGGAUUUUGUUCUUAAUGAUUUUGUUGGGGUGACAGAGAAAUAUUCAGAACUUUCUUUAAUUUUACAAGCCGAAUUUUUUAAGUAAGAAUAAAUUACCUGAGGGAUAACAGCAUUAUUCUACAGAUGAGUUUGUGACCUCGAUGUUGGACUAGGAAACUAGCAGGCUAGCCGUUUGCUGUGUGGGUUCUGUUCGAACUUUAAUUCCU
rnacentral:rRNA from 1 species